GGGCUGGUAGCUCAGUUGGUAGAGCAGCGGCCUUUUAAGCCGUUUGUCCAGGGUUCGAGCCCCUGCCAGCCUACCA
rnacentral:tRNA from 5 species